UUGGACCUACGGGAGGCAGCAGUGGGGGAUAUUGCACAAUGGGGGAAACCCUGAUGCAGCGACGCCGCGUGAGUGAAGAAGUAUUUCGGUAUGUAAAGCUCUAUCGGCAGGGAAGAAAAAAAUGACAGUACCUGACUAAGAAGCCCCGGCUAACUACGUGCCAGCAGCCGCGGUAAUACGUAGGGGGCAAGCGUUAUCCGGAUUUAUUGGGGGUAAAGGGAGCGUAGACGGCGAUGCAAGUCUGCAGUGAAAGGCGGGGGCCCAACCCCCGGAAUGCCUUGGAAACUGUUU
rnacentral:rRNA from 1 species